GACGAACGCUGGCGGCGUGCUUAACACAUGCAAGUCGAACGGAAAGGCCCUGCUUUUGUGGGGUGCUCGAGUGGCGAACGGGUGAGUAACACGUGAGUAACCUGCCCUUGACUUUGGGAUAACUUCAGGAAACUGGGGCUAAUACCGGCUAGGAGCUCCUGCUGCAUGGUGGGGGUUGGAAAUUUUCGGCGGUUGGGGAUGGACUCGCGGCUUAUCAGCUUGUUGGUGGGGUAGUGGCUUACCAAGGCUUUGACGGGUAGCCGGCCUGAGAGGGUGACCGGCCACAGUGGGACUGAGAUACGGCCCAGACUCCUACGGGAGGCAGCAGUGGGGAAUAUUGCAAAAUGGGCGGAAGCCUGAUGCAGCAACGCCGCGUGCGGGAUGACGGCCUUCGGGUUGUAAACCGCUUUCGGCUGAGACGAAGCGUGAGUGACGGUAAUGGGUAAAGAAGCACCGGCUAACAACGUG
rnacentral:rRNA from 1 species